GACGAACGCUGGCGGCGUGCUUAACACAUGCAAGUCGAACGGAAAGGCCCCCACCUUGGUGGGGGUGCUCGAGUGGCGAACGGGUGAGUAACACGUGGGUGAUCUGCCCUGUACUUCGGGAUAAGCUUGGGAAACUGGGUCUAAUACCGGAUAGGACCAUGGUUUAGUGUCUCAUGGUGGAAAAAUUAUUGUUUUGGUGCAGGAUGAGCUCGCGGCCUAUCAGCUUGUUGGUGGGGUAAUGGCCUACCAAGGCGUCGACGGGUAGCCGGCCUGAGAGGGUGGACGGCCACAUUGGGACUGAGAUACGGCCCAGACUCCUACGGGAGGCAGCAGUGGGGAAGAUUGCACAAUGGGCGCAAGCCUGAUGCAGCGACGCCGCGUGGGGGAUGACGGCCGUCGGGUGGUAAACUCCUUUCGUUAGGGACGAAGCCACACCUUUUUGGGGUGUGGUGACGGUACCUUUGUUAAGAAGCACCGGCUAACUACGUG
rnacentral:rRNA from 1 species